rnacentral:rRNA from 1 species
CGUAGGUGGCAAGCGUUGUCCGGAUUUAUUGGGUUUAAAGGGUGCGUAGGCGGUCUUAUAAGUCAGUGGUGAAAUACGGCAGCUCAACUGUCGAGGUGCCAUUGAUACUGUAGGACUAGAGUACUGUUGAGGUAGGCGGAAUGGACGGUGUAGCGGUGAAAUGCUUAGAUAUCGUCCAGAACACCGAUAGCGAAGGCAGCUUACUAAAGAGUAACUGACGCUGAGGCACGAAAGUGUGGGGAUCAAACAGGAUUAGAUACCCUGGUAGUCCACACUGUAAACGAUGAUCACUAGAUGUUGGCGAUACACUGCCAGCGUUCCAGCAAAAGCGAUAAGUGAUCCACCUGGGGAGUACGCCCGCAAGGGUG